rnacentral:lncRNA from 1 species
UUUAAUUUAUUACUAUUAUGCGAUCUUUGACGUACAACAUGAACAAAUUCAUUGACGUACAACAUGAACAAAUUCUUCAUCAAAGUAACUGUUGAUAGGUAAAUACACUGCUACAAAUUCUCAGUUCAUAUUUCUCUUAAGUGGUAGAGAGCUUCCUAGAGUAAACGAUAUACAUGGGAUCAGAGCGUCCGGGAUUUGGAGAUAUAUCCACAGCCUACAAAAAGAAAAGACAUUGGCCUCAGCAUUGGUAACACUGUCACAUGAUAACAUCAUAUACAACAUUGUAGAGGCUUUCAUAUUUGUUUCAUGACUAGUAAAAGAAAAUUCUGUUUAAUAUAUAGGGAAAACAAGAGGUUGAAUUAAUUACCCUUCAGCAGUACCUUAAACUAUACUAUUUAGUAUGUUAUAACUGAAGUUUGUCCUAACAAAAUGGGAAAAUAUCAGUGAGAUUUACCUGAGGAGGUUCAAAUCCUCCAGCAUAAUGAAAAUACGACCCAACAAUCAUAACGUGAUCAGCAUCUCCAGUUGAAGUCCAUAUAGAAAUGGCCUUUGUAAAGAAGCAUCGGUUUGAGAAGCUGGAAUCAUUCAUCCUUAGUUGAGUAGGAUAUUGUAAGAUAUACAAGACCAAUAAUAGAUAUAACAUUGUAAAAUAGAGAAAUGUUAUUACUGAAAAGAUAUGAUCGCAUAUCAUGUUCAUUGCGUGAACCAUGCCCUGAGAAGUAGAAUAGGAUAUGAUCGCCCGACAUAGAAUUAUGUAGCAUGUCCUUCAAUUCAAAUCGUUCAUUAUACAUUGUGAACGGUUGAUAAGAUACGGACCGUUAUCCGUCACAAAGAUAAUAUUUUCUUCUUGAAACCCAUAUGAUUUAAUCAAUGAAAGUUUCAAAAGUUCGGCAUAUUUCACAUAACACAAUCUAUUGAACAUGUUCUGCGGAAACUCAGAGUGUAGUAUUCUUCCUACUGUUAUUACUGGUACUUACGCAAAUUAAUAAAUUUUAUUGAAUUUAUGUUUCAAUGUCUGGAUAUCAUUUAAAUUAUUUCAUUUUCUUUGCAGAAAAAGAUUUAAAUUCUUGUGCGGUCUUGUUACCGGAUUCGGUAUUUUUAACAGUGACAAUGGAUUGUUGCUAUAGUGGCGGGGUUUUUUAAAUCGAUAAAACAACAGGUACUCUGUAAGCCAAGAAGAGGGUUUGGCGCUAUUUCAGAGUUUACAUAUUUUCAAAAGCUACUCGAUAGGCCAAGAGGGUUAGGGGAAGUUCCACAUUUUCAAAGUGAAGCAGAUUUUGAAAGUGAAGACAAUGGAACACAAUGGAAACGAAUAUGCUUUAUUUCCUCGUCUGACAGAAAUCAAGUUUCAUACGACAGUAAAAGAAUAUUUCGAGAAUGCAUUUCCGCUUUUUCCGACGCUCUAUUAAGCUGCAUGGGCAGGGAAGGAGACCUCAGCAAUUUUGAAUUGACGAGGGAGAUAAACAACAUUUUAGCUUAUACUUGCUCAAUUCAAACGGCUUGUCUAAAGUGUGAUAACAAUUUAUCACCUAAAUUGUUUCUAGAUGGAAAAGAAAAGAAUUAAUAGCAAUGAAGUAUAUGCCUCGUGGUUUGAACUAUAGAUCAAUGAUGUUCGUGAUGUGACCUGGUGGUAGGAUGUUUUGUAAGAUGUUUUGUGCUUGAGAUGUCAUUAACAUGUGGUUUUGUGCUUGAGAUGUCAUUAACAUGUGGUUUGAUGCUGUGGAUUCAUCGAAAAAGUCUCUAAAUUAGUUGAUGAUUUCUAAAUAAAUCUUUAAACUUAAAGAUUUUAAUUUUGUCCCUAAAAUUUGAAUAAUUUAUAAUUAGAUUUUUAAAUUUAGGAUAUAAUUAUAAAUUAUAGAGUAUUAGAAACCUAAUUAUAAUAUUUUUUGUUACAAAAAGCUACUUAAAAUUCUCUAACUAGUUUAAUCAAAGCCUAAAAAACUAGUUUAAUCAAAAGGAAAAUGUUCAAACCUAUGUUUACUGAGCCCACAUAUGAAUUGUUUUCAAAACACAUUUAAUUUAAUAACACCCCCUCAUCAUUCUAGUCACACCCCCUAGACACAUUAAAUUCAACCAAAUGCCCAAAGUGCCUCUAUCUAUGAUCAUAUUCAAGUUUCAAAACACUUUUCUCUCUUAUCCAUGUUCAAAUUGUAGUGAUUUUUUUAAUUUAUUACUAUUAUGCGAUCUUUGACGUACAACAUGAACAAAUUCAUUGACGUACAACAUGAACAAAUUCUUCAUCAAAGUAACUGUUGAUAGGUAAAUACACUGCUACAAAUUCUCAGUUCAUAUUUCUCUUAAGUGGUAGAGAGCUUCCUAGAGUAAACGAUAUACAUGGGAUCAGAGCGUCCGGGAUUUGGAGAUAUAUCCACAG